rnacentral:sRNA from 1 species
GUGGCGGAUAACGGGGUCCUCUGGGAAC